AAAGCGAGCGGCGGAUGGGUGAGUAACACGUGGGGAACCUGCCCCUAAGUCUGGGAUACCAUUUGGAAACAGGUGCUAAUACCGGAUAAUAAAGCAGAUCGCAUGAUCAGCUUUUGAAAGGCGGCGUAAGCUGUCGCUAAGGGAUGGCCCCGCGGUGCAUUAGCUAGUUGGUAAGGUAACGGCUUACCAAGGCGACGAUGCAUAGCCGAGUUGAGAGACUGAUCGGCCACAUUGGGACUGAGACACGGCCCAAACUCCUACGGGAGGCAGCAGUAGGGAAUCUUCCACAAUGGACGCAAGUCUGAUGGAGCAACGCCGCGUGAGUGAAGAAGGUUUUCGGAUCGUAAAGCUCUGUUGUUGGUGAAGAAGGAUAGAGGUAGUAACUGGCCUUUAUUUGACGGUAAUCAACCAGAAAGUCACGGCUAACUACGUGCCAGCAGCCGCGGUAAUACGUAGGUGGCAAGCGUUGUCCGGAUUUAUUGGGCGUAAAGCGAGCGCAGGCGGAAAAAUAAGUCUAAUGUGAAAGCCCUCGGCUUAACCGAGGAACUGCAUCGGAAACUGUUUUUCUUGAGUGCAGAAGAGGAGAGUGGAACUCCAUGUGUAGCGGUGGAAUGCGUAGAUAUAUGGAAGAACACCAGUGGCGAAGGCGGCUCUCUGGUCUGCAACUGACGCUGAGGCUCGAAAGCAUGGGUUAGCGAACAGGAUUAGAUACCCUGGUA
rnacentral:rRNA from 1 species